rnacentral:rRNA from 1 species
CACGUAGGCACCAAGCGUUGUCCGGAUUUAUUGGGCGUAAAGGGCUCGUAGGCGGUUCGGUAAGUCGGGUGUGAAAACUCUGGGCUCAACCCAGAGCCGCCACCCGAUACUGCUGUGACUCGAGUUCGGUAGGGGAGCGGGGAAUUCCUGGUGUAGCGGUGAAAUGCGUAGAUAUCGGGAGGAACAUCAGUGGCGAAGGCGGCUGCCUGGCCCAAUACUGACACUCAGGUGCGACAGCGUGGGGAGCAAACAGG